rnacentral:rRNA from 1 species
AUUGAACGCUGGCGGCAUGCCUAACACAUGCAAGUCGAACGGCAGCGCGGGUAGCUUGCUACCUGGCGGCGAGUGGCGGACGGGUGAGUAAUGCAUAGGAAUCUGCCCAGUAGCGGGGGAUAGCCCGGGGAAACCCGGAUUAAUACCGCAUACGCCCUACGGGGGAAAGCAGGGGAUCUUCGGACCUUGCACUAUUGGAUGAGCCUAUGUCUGAUUAGCUUGUUGGUGGGGUAACGGCCUACCAAGGCGACGAUCAGUAGCUGGUCUGAGAGGAUGAUCAGCCACACCGGAACUGAGACACGGUCCGGACUCUUACGGGAGGCAGCAGUGGGGAAUAUUGGACAAUGGGGGAAACCCUGAUCCAGCAAUGCCGCGUGUGUGAAGAAGGCCUGCGGGUUGUAAAGCACUUUCAGUUGGGAAGAAACAGCAGCCGGCUAAUAUCCGGUUGUCUUGACGUAACCAACAGAAGAAGCACCGGCUAACUCCGUGCCAGCACG